GACGAACGCUGGCGGCGUGCUUAACACAUGCAAGUCGAACGGACCUUCGGGUUAGUGGCGAACGGGUGAGGAACACGUGGGUGAUCUGCCCUGCACUUUGGGAUAAGCCUGGGAAACAGGGUCUAAUACCGAAUAGGACCACGCGCUUCAUGGUGUGUGGUGGAAAGCUUUGGCGGUGUGGGAUGGGCCCGCGGCCCAUCAGCUUGUUGGUGGGGUAAUGGCCUACCAAGGCGACGACGGGUAGCCGGCCUGAGAGGGUGACCGGCCACACUGGGACUGAGAUACGGCCCAGACUCCUACGGGAGGCAGCAGUGGGGAAUAUUGCACAAUGGGCGCAAGCCUGAUGCAGCGACGCCGCGUGAGGGAUGACGGCCUUCGGGUUGUAAACCUCUUUCGCCAGGGACGAAGCGCAAGUGACGGUACCUGGAGAAGAAGGACCGGCCAACUACGUGCCAGCCGCCGCGGUAACAC
rnacentral:rRNA from 1 species